GGCCAACGAAAUUGGCAAGGUGAA
rnacentral:siRNA from 1 species